GACGAACGCUGGCGGCGUGCUUAACACAUGCAAGUCGAACGAGUGGCGAACGGGUGAGUAAUACGUGAGUAACCUGCCCUCUUUAUGGGAUAAGCCUUGGAAACGGGGUCUAAUACCGGAUAAAGGGGGAUGGGCUCGCGGCCUAUCAGCUUGUUGGUGGGGUGAUGGCCUACCAAGGCGGUGACGGGUAGCCGGCGUGAGAGGGUGACCGGCCACGUUGGGACGGAACAACUGCCCAGGCGCGGACGAGGUGGGGCAGUGGGGGAUAUUGCAGAAAGGGCGACAGACUGAUGCAGCGAGUCCGAGUAGGGGAUGAGGGCUGUAGGGUUGUAAACCUAUUUCGGAAUCGGACGGGUAGCUGGAGAAGAAGCGCCGGCUAACUACGUGCCAGCAGCCGCGGUAAUUC
rnacentral:rRNA from 1 species